GUCUACAGCCAUACCACCCUGAACGCGCUCGAUCUCGGAAGCUAAACAGGGUCAGGCCUGGUUAGUAAUUGGAUGGGAGACUGUCUGGGAAUACCAGGUGCUGUAGGCU
rnacentral:rRNA from 1 species